GCCCUUGUGGUGCAAUGGUUAAGCACUCAGCUACUAACUGAAAGGUUGAUGGUUUGAACCAUCUAGUGGCU
rnacentral:tRNA from 1 species